AUUCUCCAUUCUUAAACUUCAGUAACAUUUUCCAACUUCUAAUUCUUAGAUUCCCCUCUCGGGAUGCUCAUUCUGUACUGAUGCCUGAUCAAACAAGAGAUGGAACUUUCCAGGGACAGAUGAAUAAAGGAGAUUGUGUCUAAGAAGAAUGCAUUUGAGAGCCAUCAUUGCAAAGCUGCCAUGUUUGGUGCCAGCCAGUCGAGAGGCCCAUGACGGCAGCCUGCAGACAACAGCCUGCGCAGAACUGAGGCCGUCAGACCAGUAGCAAGCAAGGAACAGAAUCUUGUAAACAACCAUACACACUUGGCAAUAGAUCCAUCCCCAGUUGAAUGCUGAGAAGACAAUAAUUUCUGCCUUAUGAGAAACCCAGAGCAAGAGGACCCAGCUAAGCCACAGGGAAGCCUGACUCACAGAAACUGUGAAAUAACUGUGGGUGAAGAGGAAGUUGAGGUCUCACAGCAGUGUGACAUUGCCGAAUGCUUCUUCUGACUUCCAUUUUUUCCGGGUGGUGACAGCUUUGGCUUCUCCCACUGGACCCUGCAGUGGUUUGCUACCCAUACAGCAAAGUCUGAGCGAUCACAGUGAGGAAAAAAUCGGUUCUGUGGCUUAGCAUUCGCAUUCUGCCCUAAUGCUUCUGGGCUUAAAUAAAACUCUCAUGGGGCCCCUUUACCCCAGCCCUGGGAGCGACAUGGCAAAUCCAUAGCAUUCAAGUGUGUGUUUACUUGUGAAUACCAUGUGGCCCACCUUCCAUCAGGAGUAGAUCUUGAUCAAGGAUGACCAUCUAACAGACCAGAGUAUUUGAUUGCUGCUGUGAGCGUUCUUUUUCCCUGUUGUACUGGCCAAGAGACUGCAGGCUACAGAUGAGUCAGCUACAGCAUGGUGGAGACAAGAUCAUCAGAGACCACUGAGUGGCGGGUGGACAACAGUUGCUCUAGAGAGUCAUCAGAAAAAUCCCAGCAGGAUUUACAUGAGCAAGAAAUAAGUGUCUGCUGUUAAACCACUGAGAUUUGAGGUUUGCUCUCCUAGCAUAACUUGGUCUACCCUGCUUAAUGCAGCAACCUUAGGGAAAUUGUUCAUUUCCUAUCAAGUGCAACAGUGCUACCAGAUUUUGGAUGGUUACAUUCAAUACUAAAAAAUAAUAAGAAGCCAAAAUAAAUGAUGAUAAUGUAAAUCUA